rnacentral:rRNA from 1 species
AUUGAACGCUGGCGGCAUGCUUUACACAUGCCAGUCGAACGGCAGCGCGGGCUUCGGCCUGGCGGCGAGUGGCGAACGGGUGAGUAAUACAUCGGAACGUGCCCAGUAGUGGGGGAUAGCUCGGCGAAAGCCGGAUUAAUACCGCAUACGACCUGAGGGUGAAAGCGGGGGAUCUUCGGACCUCGCGCUAUUGGAGCGGCCGAUGGCAGAUUAGCUAGUUGGUGGGGUAAAGGCCUACCAAGGCGACGAUCUGUAGCUGGUCUGAGAGGACGACCAGCCACACUGGGACUGAGACACGGCCCAGACUCCUACGGGAGGCAGCAGUGGGGAAUUUUGGACAAUGGGCGAAAGCCUGAUCCAGCAAUGCCGCGUGGGUGAUGAAGGCCUUCGGGUUGUAAAGCACUUUUGGCGGGAACGAAAAGGACUGUGCCAAUACCACGGUUCGAUGACGGUACCCGCAGAAUAAGCACCGGCUAACUACGUG